ensembl:lncRNA
UAUUUCCGUUGUUGUUCUUGACCUGUCACCUAAUUUUCUGCCGUAUGUUUCUGUCUCUGUGGAGGUUAUUUCCGUUGUUUCUGUUAUUUCCGUUAUAUCCGUUAUUUCCGUUAUUAUUUCCAUUAUUUUUUUCUGUUAUUUCCGUUAUUAUUUCCGUAAUUUCGUUUUUUUCUGUUAUUUCCGUUGUUGUUCUUGACCUGUCAUUUAAUUUUCUGCUGUAAUUUUCACUCUUUGUGGAGGUUAUAAUUGUUAUUUCCGUUACUUCAGUUAUUUCCGUUGUUGUUCUCGACCUGUCAUUUAAUUUUCUGCCGUAUGUAUCUGUCUCUUUGGAGGUUAUUUCCUUUAUUUCUUUUCUCUCAGUUCUUUCCUUUCUUUCCGUUCUUUCAGUUAUUUCCUUUGUUGUUCUAGACCUGUCACUUAAUUUUCUGCCGUAUGUUUCUGUCUCUGUGGAGGUUAUUUCCGUUAUUUCCGUUAUAUCCAUUAUUUCCGUUAUUAUUUCCGUUUUUUUUUUUUCUGUUAUUAUUCCCAUUAUUUUUUUUGUUAUUUCUGUUAUUACUUCUGUUAUUUCCGUUAUUAUUUCCGUUAUUUUGGUUUUUUUUUUUAUUUCCGUUGAUGUUCUUGACCUCUCACCUAAUUUUUUGCCGUAUGUUUCUUUCUCUCUGGAGGCUAUUUCCAUUAUUUCCGUUAUUUCCGUUGUUGUUCUUGACCUGUCAACUAAGUUUCUGCCGUAUGUUUCUGUCUUCAAAGGUUAUUUCCGUUAUUUCCGUUAUUUCCAUUAUUUCCCUUGUCGUUCAUGACCUGUCAGUUAAUUUUCUGCCGUAAUUUUCUGUCUCUGUGGAGGUUCUAUCAAUUAUUGCCGUUAUUUUCGUUAUUUCCGUUAUUUCCGUUGUUUUUGACCUGUCACCUAAUUUUCUGCCGUAUGUUUCUGUCUCUGUGGAGGUUAUUACCGUUAUUUCUGUUAUUUCUGUUAUUUCCGUUGUUGUUCAUGACCUGUCAGGUAAUUUUCUGCCGUAUGUUUCUGUCUCUGUGGAGGUUAUUUCCAUUAUUUCCGUUAUUUCCGUUAUUUCUUUUAUUUCCGUUAUUUCCGUUGUUGUUCUUGACCUGUCACCUAAUUUUCUGCCGUAUGUUUCUGUCUUUCGGAGUUUAUUUCUGUUAUUUCCGUUAUUUCCAUUAUUUCCGUUAUUUCCAUUAUUUCCGUUGUUGUUCUUGACCUGUCACCUAAUUUUCUGCCGUAUGUUUCAUUCUCUCUGGAGGUUCUUUCCGGUAUUUCCGUUCUUUCCGUUGUUGUUCUUGACUUGUCACCUAAUUUUCUGCCUUAUGUUUCUGUCUUUCGAAGGUUAUUUCCGUUAUUUCUGUUAUUUCCGUUAUUUCCGUUGUUGUUCUUGACAUGUCAGUUAAUUUUCUGCCGUAUGUUUCUGUCUCCGUGGAGGUUAUUUCCAUUAUUUCCGUUAUUUCCUUUCUUUCCGUUUUUUUCCGUUUUUGUUUUUUGUUUUUUCUGUUUUUUCCGUUAUUUCCGUUUUUUUCGUUGUUGUUCUUGACCUUUCACCUAAUUUUCUGCUGUAUGUUUCUGUCUUGGUGGCGGUUACUUCCGUUGUUUCCAUUAUUUUUGUUUUUUAUGUUAUUUCCGUUGUUGUUCUUGACCUGUC